rfam:Toxocara canis scaffold1455, whole genome shotgun sequence.
CGAGCAGUGGCUCAGUGAUAGAGCUUUCGUCUUAUAUGGGGAAAUACUUGGGUUGGAUUCCCGGCUGCUUAC